rnacentral:rRNA from 1 species
ACAGCAGCCGCCGCGGUAAAACGUAGGUGGCAAGCGUUGUCCGGAAUUAUUGGGCGUAAAGGGCUCGCAGGCGGUUUCUUAAGUCUGAUGUGAAAGCCCCCGGCUCAACCGGGGAGGGUCAUUGGAAACUGGGAAACUUGAGUGCAGAAGAGGAGAGUGGAAUUCCACGUGUAGCGGUGAAAUGCGUAGAGAUGUGGAGGAACACCAGUGGCGAAGGCGACUCCCUGGUCUGUAAUUGACGCUGAGGAGCGAAAGCGUGGGGAGCGAACAGGAUUAGAUACCCCCGUAGUCCCUGUCUCUUAUAC